CGCGAGCAUCUUUGUGGCCAAGUUUUUUAGGGCACACGGUGGAUGCCUUGGCAUCAGGAGCCGAAACCUGACUUUGAUCCGGGGAUGUCCGAAUGGGGAAACCUAGCACCAGUCAUGUGGUGUUGCCUCCGCCUGAAUGUAUAGGGCGGUUGGUGGUAACGCGGGGAAGUGAAACAUCUCAGUACCCGUAGGAAGAGAAAACAAAUUAGUGAUUCCGUGAGUAGUGGUGAGCGAAAGCGGAAGAGGCUAAACCGUAUGCGUGUGAUAGCCGGCAGGCGUUGCGUGUGCGGGGUUGUGGGACCCUCUGACGGUUUCUGCCGAGACCGUAAGCAGUGAGAAAUCGAUGGGAUAGCCGAAGUUUCUGGGAAGUUGCGCCGUAGACCGUGAGAGCCGGGUAGGCGAAAUCUUGUCGACUGUUUGAGGGGAUCCCAAGUAGCACGGGGCCCGAGAAAUCCUGUGUGAAUCUGCCAGGACCACCUGGUAAGCCUAAAUACUCCCUGAUGACCGAUAGUGAACAAGUACCGUGAGGGAAAGGUGAAAAGCGCCCCGGUGAGGGGUCGUGAAAUAGUACCUGAAACCGUGUGCCUACAAGCCGUAGGAGCGUAAACAGGCUUGCCUGUUUGUGAUGUGACUGCGUGCCUUUUGAAGAAUGAGCCUGCGAGUUAUGGUGUGUGGCGAGGUUAACCCGUGUGGGGGAGCCGUAGCGAAAGCGAGUCUGAAUAGGGCGUUUGAGUCGCAUGCUGUAGACCCGAAGCGGAGUGAUCUAGGCAUGGGCAGGUUGAAGCGCGGGUAAGACCGCGUGGAGGACCGAACCCACCAGGGUUGAAAACCUGGGGGAUGACCUGUGUUUAGGGGUGAAAGGCCAAUCAAACUCCGUGAUAGCUGGUUCUCCCCGAAAUGCAUUUAGGUGCAGCGUUGCGUGUUUCUUGCCGGAGGUAGAGCACUGGAUGGCUAAUGGGCCCGACAAGGUUACUGACGUCAGCCAAACUCCGAAUGCCGGUAAGUGAGAGCGCAGCAGUGAGACUGCGGGGGAUAAGCUCCGUAGUCGAGAGGGAAACAGCCCAGACCACCGACUAAGGCCCCUAAGCGUGUGCUAAGUGGGAAAGGAUGUGGAGUCGCAGUGACAACCAGGAGGUUGGCUUAGAAGCAGCCAUCCUUGAAAGAGUGCGUAAUAGCUCACUGGUCAAGUGAUUCCGCGCCGACAAUGUAGCGGGGCUCAAGUACACCGCCGAAGUCGUGGCAUUCACAUAUUAACCGAGCCUUUGUGGUUUAGGUGUGUGGAUGGGUAGGGGAGCGUCGUGCGGCCGGCGAAGCAGCAGAGUGAUCUAGUUGUGGAGGCCGUGCGAGUGAGAAUGCAGGCAUGAGUAGCGAAUCAGAAGUGAGAAACUUCUGCGCCGGAUGACCAAGGGUUCCUGGGCCAGGCUAAUCCGCCCAGGGUAAGUCGGGACCUAAGGCGAGGCCGACAGGCGUAGUCGAUGGACAACGGGUUGAUAUUCCCGUACCCGCUACGAUGCGCCAAUACUGAAUCCAGUGAUACUAAGGGUCCUUAACUCGGUUGUCCCUUCGGGGACGGCGUCAGAGUGAACGCCUGGCCUGAACUGGUAGUAGGUAAGCGAUGGGGUGACGCAGGAAGGUAGCCCAGCCCAGGCGAUGGUAGUCCUGGGGUAAGCAUGUAGGGAGGACCGUAGGCAAAUCCGCGGUCCAUGUAUCCUGAGAUGUGAUGCCGAGCCGAUUGUGGCGAAGUGGGUGAUCCUAUGCUGCCGAGAAAAGCCUCUAGUGAGUGUCGUGGCGGCCCGUACCCGAAACCGACUCAGGUGGUCAGGUAGAGAAUACCAAGGCGAUCGGGUGAACUGUGGUUAAGGAACUCGGCAAAUUGCCCCCGUAACUUCGGGAGAAGGGGGGCCUUCGCUGGUGAUGAGUCUUGCACUCGGAGCUGGUGGGGGUCGCAGAGGCCAGGGGGAAGCGACUGUUUACUAAAAACACAGGUCCGUGCGAAGUCGUAAGACGAUGUAUACGGACUGACGCCUGCCCGGUGCUGGAACGUUAAGGGGACCGGUUAGUCAUCUUCGGGUGGCGAAGCUGAGAACUUAAGCGCCAGUAAACGGCGGUGGUAACUAUAACCAUCCUAAGGUAGCGAAAUUCCUUGUCGGGUAAGUUCCGACCUGCACGAAUGGCGUAACGACUUCCCCGCUGUCUCAACCGCAGACCCGGCGAAAUUGCACUACGAGUAAAGAUGCUCGUUACGCGCAGCAGGACGGAAAGACCCCGGGACCUUCACUACAGCUUGACAUUGGCGUUUGGAACGUCUUGUGUAGGAUAGGUGGGAGACUGUGAAGCUGUCACGCUAGUGGCGGUGGAGUCAUUGGUGAAAUACCACUCUGGUCGUUUUGAACGUCUAACUUCGGUCCGUGAUCCGGAUCAGGGACAGUGUCUGGUGGGUAGUUUAACUGGGGCGGUUGCCUCCUAAAGAGUAACGGAGGCGCCCAAAGGUUCCCUCAGCCUGGUUGGCAAUCAGGUGUCGAGUGUAAGUGCACAAGGGAGCUUGACUGUGAGACCGACGGGUCGAGCAGGAGCGAAAGCUGGGACUAGUGAUCCGGCGGUGGCUUGUGGAAGCGCCGUCGCUCAACGGCUAAAAGGUACCCCGGGGAUAACAGGCUGAUCUUCCCCAAGAGUCCAUAUCGACGGGAUGGUUUGGCACCUCGAUGUCGGCUCGUCGCAUCCUGGGGCUGGAGUAGGUCCCAAGGGUUGGGCUGUUCGCCCAUUAAAGCGGUACGCGAGCUGGGUUUAGAACGUCGCGAGACAGUUCGGUCCCUAUCCGCUGCGCGCGCAGGAGACUUGAAAGGAGCUGUCCCUAGUACGAGAGGACCGGGACGGACGAACCUCUGGUGUGCCAGUUGUUCCGCCAGGAGCACGGCUGGUUGGCUACGUUCGGAAGGGAUAACCGCUGAAAGCAUCUAAGCGGGAAGCUCGCCUUGAGAUGAGGUCUCCCACCACGUGAGUGGGUAAGGCCCCCAAUAGACGAUUGGGUUGAUAGGCCGGAGGUGGAAGCACAGUAAUGUGUGGAGCUGACCGGUACUAAUAGGCCGAGGACUUGACCAC
rnacentral:rRNA from 1 species